rnacentral:lncRNA from 1 species
CACCCUCACUUUUAUGUUAGUCAAACAUACUCACGCACAUAACCACUAGUAUUUUUAUUUGGGAGCGGGGUUUCUUUUUCAUUGCCUUAUGCAUGUAUCUUCUCUUACACGUACUAUUUUCAUUAUUACUUUUAGGCAUGUCUCUUGUCUUACUUUGUAUUUCGGAAAGGCAUUGAGUUUUUUUUUGGUUCUUGUUGGGUAUUGAACAAGCGUAGCCUAUGAGUCAGUGGUAUUUGUUGUUACCCCC